CUAUGUAGCCCUGGCUGUUCUGGAACUCACUUUGUAGACCAGGCUGGCCUCGAGCUCAGAAAUCCUCCUGCCUCCCGAGUGCUGGGAUUAAAGGCGUGCUGGGAUUAAAGGCAUGCUGGGAUUAAAGGCGUGCGCCACCACCGCCCAGCUAAAGCAAAGAAUUCUAAUAGUGCUUAUAAAUAUGGUGCUCUCAGUGUGACAUUCCCUUCCCCAGGGUGCAUUAGCCAGUAGAGGCUGUAAAGAUACUUCAUAUGUAGAGUGCAGCCUGGGGGGCAUCUCUCUGAAAUAGGAGGGUGGAUAAGGAAUUUUCCUUAAGAAAGUCACUUUGCAGCGUGCUGAUGUUUAAUUCAGCUCUGAAUCUUUCUUUAGUGAAACAAUAGGGAGGAUUAACAGCCUGUGGCUGGCUGAUGAGAGUUAGUUUGAACAGUUGGGUAGACAGGACCAGGUACUGUGUGCUUUCUCCUUUGGUCCCAUUGUUGUUUGCCACAUAAUUGGCUUAAAUGUGAUUUUGGAAUAAAAUCCUAUAUAUCUAAAAACCUGUAUUAAAAUUUCCAAAUAAGGCUGAGAAUGGUAGCAACAUGCUUUUAACUCUAGCACUUCUGAGGCAGAGGGAGGGGGAAUCUCUGUUUGAAACUAGUUUGCUCUACAUAGCACCCCCAAAAUGUAUAUAACUAGAAUACUAGUUUCUACGCAAAUAAGAAAAUUACUGCAUAGUAAGGUUAAAUCUUUAGUAUUAAGCAAAGGAGACUUAGAGGCUUAAACACUGUGGUCUUUAAAGAAGCCUCUGAGGUAUAAUGAAGUCCUGGUCUUUCCUCUAUCACCAUUCUCCCUGGUGUUGUCAUGAAAACACCUGUAUCUACAGGCUGUCCUUCCCUGGCUGCUUUUCUGUAGUCCACCUGCCCCAGUUUUCACUGUGCUCAGUGCGAUGCUCGAUGCUUGUGUCUCUGUAUUACCAUCCGGACUAUGUUCUGCACGAUUUUGAGCGAGUGUUGAAAACCGAUUGUCUUUCAGGUUAACUUUUGAAAACUUAAGUACCAUGACUAUCUGUAGGUUUUGUGUUUUUUGUUUUUAUUUUUUUUUAAAUUGAAGCCAAGUAAUUUCAUGAAACAGUAAUUGAAACUAUAUGACAAAGACAUUGAAUUAUGUUAUGAUGUACUAUGUCAUCAACAUAAUGUGUUAAAUGACAGGGGAAUGAGAGCGAGGCCUCAGUCCUACACCAAGAACUACUAGCAGCUUCUGUGCUAAAAGUGGGAGCAAUAGGCCUCCCUCAGGAAGAGCCCACCAACUGGUUAUCCAGUACUAAACGGUCAGCUCUGAAAACACGUGUGAGUAACACUACACAGAAAAGCAGGUUAUAUGUAUUUAGGUGUGUGUGUGUGUGUGUGUGUGUGUGUGUGUAACAACAAUUAAGAGAAGGAGGCCAUGAAUUUGUAAGCGGUUAAGGAGGGUCACGUGGGAGGGUUUGGAGGGAGGAGAGGGAAGAAAUGAUGUAAUUAUAUUGGAAUCUCAAAAAUAAAAUAAAAACAUUUAAAACUCUACACUUAACUAUUAAUAAAAAAUAUUGAAAAUGAGCGCUGAAUCCUGGGAAAAGAAUAACCAGUUGUUUCAAGGUCUUCAUCUGAUGGAACAGAAGUUUUGAGUUUAGUAAACACAACAUUACUUCUGAUAAUGGUUUGCCAUGAAAUUAAUUGAAUGCAGCUUACCUCCUGUCUGUCAAAGGCUGUCUGAGAGGUGACCGUUUGCCGCUCUGCCCAGUCCCAGAGAGAGAGUGCUCAGAGUCGCCUGUGUUAGGUAGGUGGUGUCUCUGUGCUGUGUCUUGUUGGAGGGUUGUUGAGAUGUAGUACCGAUAGUGGGGUUGGUCUGCUGAGCUCUGAGCACUGCUCUGCCGUUUUCAGGAAACGCUCUGAAAUGAGACACUCAGCGUGGGACUUUACCCUGGAUGUGGUUUUCUCUUUCACAAGUGAUUUGUUUAUGAAGUCCUGCUCAUCUCGGGCUGCUCUUGAAACAAUGGCAUAUCUUGAAGAAAGGCAGAUAUUCUUGAAUUAACUGCUUGUUUUGAUGUUUGAAGUUUGUGUCACUUACAGGCAGGAGAUUUGACACUGGGCAAAGCAAGGUUCAAAGCCUAGCUGCUUUCUAAGCUCCUCGACUUUGUCUAGCCUUUUGUUGUUCCUGUGUAGUUCCUAUCCAGUUGAAAUGCAUAGCACUCAUGUGAUAGGAUUGAGAACUCCUCUCCAGAAAAGUCCUGCCUGAAAGAGAGCAACUGCCACCCUGCCACCUCGGUCACCUGUCAUCUUCUCCAUGGCCCUGCUCUGCUCUGCUCUGCCCUGCCCUGCCCUGCAGAUCUGUUCCUGGAUCCUGUAGGUACUUCCUACACUUUGUCCAUUUUCUAUCUCAGGGAAGACUUGCAGUAAUUUUUUUCUUGCAUGAACAUCCAUGUAAACCAUGGGAAGGACUGGGGAAUUUACAUGUAGCUGGAAGAAUUUAUAUGUAGCAGUGUUCUCAGCUGAGAAGGGAAGUGAAACCCACAGAAGGGAGGAUUGGGCAGCCCAGAGCAUCGCUGUCUAGCUACUCUGAGUUUAACUUUCUCUUUAAAGUAGCCCAGCCCUUGUCCAGUUCUAAGUAUCUCUACAUUGGCUACACAUUAUUUGCCAGCCUUUAAAUGGUGCCUAAGCUUAGCUGCUUCUGUGUCUAUAGUGUGAGCGAUUUAAACUGGCUCCUGUCAUCUUGUCUGUCCUGUUUUGAGACGGGGCCUUACUGGCUGCUUUGGAGCUGUGUUGACCAGGUUGGCUUUGAACUUACCCUGGUCUUCCUGUCUCUGCCUCCUGAGAGCUGGACUCCAGCUGUCAGCCACCACAGCUGCCACAGCGUGAACUUGAGGUAGUUUGAGAACCUUGCUUCUUUUCCCAGAAGUGCUAAACUUUCAUUCUACAAAAGGUACUGACGUUAGCUGUGCUAACAAACCACUGGGUGCCGUGGGAGCCUUCCAGAAUAAUGUGCUAUAGAGCCACUGGAGACCACUGCAGCAGUUCCUGUGUGGGUGAGAGGUCAGCCACAUGGAUACCUCUUGACUGGGACCCAGUGUGUUCUGUGAGAAGGUUUCUGACAGGAAGUACUGAUUGUGCUGCUACAGUCAACAGAUGAGGAGCCUGGGGUGUCUUCUCAUUAAGACUUGAGUCUUCCCCGUAUGUAGCAUUCUUAGUUGAGAACUUGCAUUUCUUAGUGCAAGGUGCCCAGGGCAGAUUUGGAACCUCCCAAAAGCUUGGCAGAACCCACCUGUAGACCCUCCCUCUAACCACCUCACAGCUGCCAUUUUCCCUCAGAGCUGGGCUGGCCUGGACGGUUCCUUGCCCCAGCUCUGUGCCUUAUGCUUGGGUGGCCGGCACACACCUUGCUGUCUUUGAUGCUCCACCACUACACCAUGUGCUUGGGGGUGCUGACAUGAGUUGUAGCUAAGGAGCAUUUAACAUUGUUCGAUAGCUAAGAAAGUGAACAUGUGAAGAGGGGGGUGGGGUGGAUGGUCGUCUGAGCCCAGAACCAACUGCAAGGACACUGAGCUGCCUGAGAUGUGGUGAGAGGUCUGUGCAGGAGGCGGAGGAGUGGCCCUCCUGCACGCCUCACCUUGCCUUCAGGAAUCUGUUACUCUUACCAGGGACUUUGUGACCAUGCCUGCAGUUUUGGUCUUCUCACGUACUUUGGAAUGUGAGAGAAUUCUUACCAAAGAGGGUUUUCUCAUACUCCAGAGACGUCAGGGUUUCCUGUACUUUAUGAAAUGUUUUGGUCUCACUUUGAGGUUUAGUUUGAGCAUUGAAGACUGUAGGUGAGUUUAUAUACUUAGUAGGAGAACCUAGUUUUUAAAUCAACAUGAUUUAGUUAAGACACUAUUGGGAGUGUUAUUACAUGCGUGUAGCAUGUCUGCAUGUAGGAUGACUCCAAGGGUGUUAUUACAUGCGUGUAGCAUGUCUGCAUGUAGGAUGACUCCAAGGGUGUUAUUACAUGCAUGUAGCAUGUCUGCAUGUAGGAUGACUCCAAGAGUGUUAUUACAUGCAUGUAGCAUGUCUGCAUGUAGGAUGACUCCAAGGGUGUUAUUACAUGCAUGUAGCAUGUCUGCAUGUAGGAUGACUCCAAGGGUGUUAUUACAUGCAUGUAGCAUGUCUGCAUGUAGGAUGGCUCCAAGGGUGUUAUUACAUGCAUGUAGCAUGUCUGCAUGUAGGAUGGGUCUCUUUUGUUAAAGCUUUGUUUUUGCCACACACAGAGUUGUAUUUCAUGGUCUGAAUGGUUCACAACCGUAACAAGUGUCCUGAUGACCUCCUGCAGUGGCUAGAGGUCUGCUGUAACACUGUUUACCUGGCCUGCCCCUGCAUGGGGACAGUGGACAGCAAGCCCUCAGUGGUUGGUAGCUGGAGAAGAGUGAGAAUGAUGGACAGAGACUGUUCUGCAAGAGGGGAGGAGUCCUGACCUCUGAUUUGACAGUUCGGAACCUUUGUCCCCUGCCUCUUACUUUCUCAGGCUGUGUCCCAACAAUUGUUGCUUCAGAAGGGCCAGGCCCUGGGCUCGGGUGUUUUGAAUAGUAGGAAUUUCUGAAUAAAGACUUAAGAGAUUAUUUAAAUGUUCGAGACAGGGUUUCUCUGUGUAGCCCUUACUGUCCUGGAACUCACUCUGUAGACCAGGCUGCCUUGGAACUCAGAUAUCUGCCUGCCUUUGCCUCCCAAGUGCUGGGAUUAAAGGCACACACUACCACUGCCUGGCUUAAAUGUAGUUUUUAACCCCAGUGAUUUAUAGACAUACUCUUAUAGCCACUUUAGUAUGAAGAGAAAUAUAUGUUGUUUAAUUUAGCCUUCCUUAAUUCUGUCUCUUUUGUGCAUCUUAAAAUGUUUAUGAACAUAUAAUCAGAGUUACUUACUUCAUAAGAAAUGACUUGAAUCCAGAUAUGACCAUCAAUGUGCUAGAUACGUUUAGCUAAAUUAGCAACAACAGCGUUGUCUGUCACUAAGAAAUUCUCGGAGGAAAGGGCUUCUGCCUGGGAGCUCACCAGACCUGUAGCUUCUGAAGUCUUAGGACUCCAGGCCAAGAGUUCACAGACUUAUUCAGAGGUCCAACCAAUUGAAAACCCCAAGGCUAUUGCGAUGCACUUGACUCUAAACUGCAAACUCUGAUUUCAGUUAAAGGAGAUGUACAAAGAAGAGAGUGUGUGUGAGUCUCGUGUGUGACACUAGGAAGUCACCAUUGAGUGUGUGGGGGGGUAUUGUGUGUGACACUAGGAAGUCACCAUUGAGCGUGUGUGGGUAUUGUGUUCGAUACUAGGAAGUUACCAUUGAGGAGAAAGAGGACUGACAGUAGACCAGGGCUGUGACAUACUCCGUGUUUUCCAGAAUUCCGUGGUCAAGAGUUUAGUCCUCAGCCUGGAGUUCAUUUUCAGAAGGUGGCAGAGACCUUAGGGAGUGACAUGAUACCUUUCCAUAGGUGCAGACCAGAUCCACCAAAGCUGAGCCCAAAUGAACUCUUUGUGUUUAGAGCUUUAUCUCGGGCACGUGGGACAGUAAUUUAAAGAUGGUGGGCACUGAAUGAUAAGAAAGAACUCCCAGGUGAAUGUGAGAUGGAGGAUUUUAGUGUAUAGGUGUCUGCAUAUUAGAAGUACAUCUAAUGUUUUUAAUUACUCAACUGAUUUUUCUGCCAUUAUCUGUAUAAUUGGGAAAGGCAGUCAAAAUGGGCUGUUUCUGUUUUUCAGCCUGUAUGCUCUGUUCUGUAUCAUGUGUCAUAUACUUACCAUCCUUGUUAUAGUUGGUUCUCAGAAAUAGUCAUUUCUCCUUCUUGUUCUCAUUAAGCACGUUGGUAGAAGACUUCAUCUUCAAGGCUAGAUUCUCUCUGCCCGCAGAUCUGCGUCUAGGAAGAACUCUGCCAUCUAGUGGGCAAGUUGAACACAGCCUCCCCCCCAAAAAAAACCCCAAAAAACAAAAACCAAAAAACCCAACCCCAAAUGUAUCUACAUCAUCAGCAAACAGCAUGUCUGCUAAUUUCAUUUGUGAUCAUGAAAACUAAACCCAAAAAAUAGCAUCACCCACAGGCCAGGUGCUCACAGAGAUGAGGGUUUGCAGUGUGGGUGCUGGGCGCCUGUCACUCAAAAUCCAUGCAUGUUGCUGGUGGGAAUUAAAACACAGAAGACCUUUUGGUAUUAAGUUGUAAGUGAAGGUGUGCAAAUGCUAUGGCCCAGGUGACUCCCUGACGUACAGCCAGUGAGACCAGAAGACAGGUAAAAAGCAUUCACAGAAGCCUUGUCUGUAACAGUCUCAAAGUAGAAACAACCCCUCACUCACCAGCUGUAGAGUGGACACUGGAAUGUUCUUCGUGUCAAGAGAGUGGUGUACAAGGAAGAGGCAGCUACCACAAGAGUAAACCUCACUACAGAAAGCCACGUAGGAGGGAACCCUUGAUGAGUGAUUCCACCUUUGUGGCUUCCACGAAGUAGCCCAAGUGUGUGUGUGUGAGAGUCCAUGUGUGUGUGUGAGUCCAUGUGUGUGCGCGUGUGUGCGCGAGUCCUCGUGUGUGUGUGUGUGAGUCUGUGUGUGUGUGUGAGUCCAUGUGUGGUGGUAUGUGUGUGUGAGUCCAUGUGUGGUGGUCACUGCUUUGGUGGAGGAGAAACAGUUCCGAUAGACAGGGAGCAGCAGAUGCCUGUAGGGCAGGACCCUAGGACAGUUGUAACCCUCACCAUAGGUCUAAAGAGAGGCAGGCAGGAGGCGAUAGAACCUGGAAGGAGAGAGCCCUGUGAGUCGGCUGUGUGGAGGAGUGACUAGGCUCUCUGCAGGAAGGAGUCGGGAAUAAAUGUGCCCUCAGCUCAGGCCUUUCUUGCCUGACUGCCCUCCAUGCUCCCUUUUCUGGACUUGGCUGGAAGCCAGGUGCUCCUAGCCUUUGAUUCCUCAGAUUCCACUCGGUUUCUGUAUGUGUGGUACAUUUCCUGUCCUACCCAGAGAGACUUUUGCAGGAGAGUUUGGGCUUCAGAAUUGGCACUCUGGGUAUGGGUGUCUCUGCCUCUGAAGCUGUUCCCGUGAGUGCUAUUUCACUACCUGGGGUCUCUGUGAAUUGCCAUGUACCCAGUAGCUUGCAUCCUGGGUUUUGUAGACACCAACACUAGUUCUCGUCCUUCCCUAAUUUGGGGCUGGGUGGCUGUGCUGGAGUCUUUCCCUGAAUCAUGAACUUUCCAAGCUGUGUUAAGUUAGCCUCGAUACUGUACAGUUGGGCAGACUCCUUUUUCUGUGUUUUACUUUGGCCUUCCAGAUCUUUUCUGGAGCAAUAUAAAUGAAGGCUGGCAAGAUGGGACCUCAGAGUCCCCAGGAGUCACUUAAUGACACCCCUAUCUCUGCCCUCGCAGGGAACACUGGGGCCCGCAGGGACUCAGAAGCAUCUGUGUCCUGAGGUGUGUGGGCCCUGCUGCCUUUUGUCCUCAUUUGCUGUGACCUUUGUGUGUGUGUGUGUGUGAGUGUGUGUAUUUUUAUCUUAUUUAUUUUGGGGUUAACUUCUUGAAGACAUGAUCAGCCUGCUGAGGAGACAGGCGUCCAUGCUGUUUUUUCCUUGAUAAUGAAUAGCAUUGGCUUGUUCACAGGUCUUCCUCUCAGUGUGCGCAGUAAAUUGAGCACGUGAUGGUUGUGAUAGUGUUCCUGUCUUACUCUAGCACUUUCCAUAUGGACACAAAAGUUUGUGACUCUUGUAUGUUUCUUGUCACGAGCAGGCCAUGCAGCCCCAGAAGAAUCCCAGCAAAGGCAGUUCAGUGGCUUAAGCACAGAGCUAGCUCAGUCAGUGAGAUGCUUAUUAAAUGCGAGGGCUGGAGUUUGCGCCCCAGAACUCUCAUUCAUUCAUUCAUUCAUUCAUUCAUUCAUUCAUUCAUUCAUUCACUCAGUCUCUCUCUCACUCACUCAGUCUCUCUCUCACUCACUCAGUCUCUCUCUCACUCACUCAGUCUCUCUCUCACUCACUCAGUCUCUCUCUCACUCACUCACUCACUCACUCACUCACUCAGUCUCUCUCUCACUCACUCAGUCUCUCACUCACUCACUCACUCACUCACUCACUCACUCACCCACCCACCCACUCACCCGUAUGUCCAAGCGUGAUGACUUGCAAGCCCAGUGCUGGGAAACCCUGACAAGGGCAUCCCUGGGGCUUUCUAGCCAGUCAGCUCAGUGUGCUUUGCAAGUUCCAGGCCUCCAACCCCACAAAGCAGGCAGUGCCUGAGAAAUGGUAUCUUUGACUUCCACGCACAUAUGUGUAUUGCAGUCUCCCCCUCUCCUCCUACUACCCCCGCCACCACAGGCUGCAGGGGCUGGAAAGUUCUGAACUGGAGACCAGGGCAUAUUGCUGUAGCAUUUCUUUGCAUGGUAAGGCAUUGUUCUUGCCUGUGGUAUGUGAUUUAUUUUUCUAGCACUUAAUGUCACACUUUUUUGGGGGGGUCUGCAAUCAUAGGCUUUAGAAUUAAUAGCAGGAGUUGCCUGUGGCAUCUCUCACAGUUAUGUAUUUACAGACCCUUGGCUGUUUUUCCACUUCCUUUUUUCUUCUCGUUUUGUUAAUGAAGAACUGCCACUCUCAAAUGAUUCUGUGUCCAGCAUAGUGCUUCCCACUGGAGGCCCUCGGUAAAUGGACCUAGUGAUUCAGCUAGGGAUAUGUUUUUCUAAAGUUAUGCAGUGGCUCAAAAAUGGAUGCCUCUCUUGAUGUCACCUUAAGGACAUCAAGUGAGAGCAGGAUAUAACAAGAAAUAGGUUGUCAGGCUUGCCUUAAAGGGACUGAGAGGGUUUGGGAUGAGAGACUCUGUUGUUUCCAGAGGAGUUAGCUGCGGUGUGCAGUUAGUCACACAUGGAGUGGUUCCAAUUCCUCAUCCACUCUCGUUUCCUUUUUGGUGAUUGGACGCUGUCGAGCUGCUUUGAUAGGUCCUCUGCUUCUAUUGUAACACACAGGUGAUCAGUGGCACCUGAACUAUUGGCCUUAACCUGAUUUGAAAUCUUGUUAACAUUGGAAUAAAAAAUUAAAAAAAAUAAGUGGUAGGUUAUGCAAAUGCUUUAGCAUUCACUUAAGAUUGCUUCUAUAUUAAGUAGUACCCUGUGAUAACAAGCCCUUUAGUCUUCUAAGACGUUUUGGCUUAUAGACUAUUUCUUCCCUCAUCAGAAGCAUCCUGUUUAUUUUAGGAAACAGAUUUCCUUUGUAUGACUGGGCUAGUGAUAGAACUAAUAGGUCAUAUUUUUCAAAAUAUAUAUGCAUAUAAACAAAAAUCAUCAUCUUUUUAAAAUAUACUAUCUGUCUGUCUGUCUGUCUGUCUGCCUAUCUAUCUAGACAAUUUUAUCCAUGAUACAGUGUAUCCAUGAUCUACCUCCCAACAGCAUCUCCUCCUCCCCCUUCCUUCAUGUUUUCCCUCCCCCAACUCAGUCCAGUUAGUGCAGCCUGGCUCAGCCUUGUGCAGGUACGCAUAGCUGUGGAGAAUUCGUGAGUGUGAUGGCCAUGCUGUGUCCUGAAGACUGUUUCCCAUCAUUUCCACCCCCCACCCCCCACCCCCUUACAUUCCCUGAGCCUUGUGGGCAGUUACACCCACAGGUACAGAUAGCGCUAAGUCAGGGCACUCAGCACUGUGACCAGUUCCUAGUCUGUGCUCACUGCAGCUGUGAAGACAGCGCUUCCCUGGCCAGGGCUGAGAGCAGGGCUGAUGCUGAUCUCUUGGCCCAUAUGUAACUGUUUAGAGGGCAGCACGAUAGCACGUACAUUUACUAAAACAGCAGUAGGCUCUCCCUUAGGGCCUGUGUUAGUUUCUUUUCUAUUGCUGCCAUAAGAUACCACGACCAAGGCAACUUACAGGGUUAGAGUCCGUGAGCAUCAUGGCAGGGAGCAUGGCAGCAGCCAUGGUGCUGUGGCAGGAGUUCACAUCUUGAGACACAACCACAAGGCAGGCAGACACUGGGAAUAGGGCAAGUCUUUUGAAACCUUAAGGCCUGGUGACAGACCUCCUUCAACAGGCCACACCUCCUAAUCCUAACAGUUCCACCAACUGGGGACCAGGUAUUCAAACAUAUGAGCCAAUAGGGACAUUGUCAUUAAGACUUCCACAGGGCCUAUAACCGUCUGAGCCAUGGGCUUUUGACAGGUAACACAGUAUGAGACACAGAUUCCUUCCUGUAGCGGGUCUUGAAUCCAAUCAGAAAGUGGUCACCCCAUAGCCCUCGCCCUGCUGCUGCAGAAUUUGCCUGGCAGGCAGUAUUUUAGCAUCCAGGGAUUCCUGCUAGGUACUAUCAAUUGAUGCCCCACCCCCACCCCAGUGGCAUGUGUAGCACCUUCUGGAGCUAUGAGAGAUGGCCCAUGGGAGCAGGUUUUUAGGUCAGUUUCAGCUUGAUUUCUGUCUUCAAAGUGUGCUGUGCCUUCAGCAACAGGAUCUUACCAUCUAGUAGGAGUGGGCCACCAAGAGGAGUGUCAGUAGCCUCUGCUGGAGGGCCGCUAGGAUCUCCUAACCAACAACUUAGAAGGAAGUACCCCAUGCCCAGCACUGAGACUUUCACUUCACAACUCUUGUCUCUUAAGAGAAGCAUUGCCUGCCCACCGUCUAGGGUUCAGUGUUCAAACUCUUUUUAAAAAUUAUAUUUUUAAAUUAGUUUACAAAGUGUUAGUGUUUCAUACAUCCUUAGUUUUGCUUAAUGUCCCCCAGCUUUCUCAGCUUUCCUGUUUUCCCUUUCCUACCCCAAAUCUUACUCAAUUUGAAUGGACAGUUCAACAUGGUUACAUGCCCAGUCUGCAGAAUCAGCUUUGUUUUCCCAAACUGAAGCUCAGUGCCCACCGAGUGAUUUCUUAUUAACCCAGACCCCAGGUCCCUGCAGUCUGCUCUCUGUCUUCUGGGGUCAGACUGCUCUGCCUCAAAAGUAGAAUCGUGGAACAUUUGUCUUUUUGAAAUCUCCACACAUUCCACAGUGAGUGUUUGUGGGUCAGAGGACAGCCUCAGUUCUCCUGUUCACGGCUGUGUAUGCCAGGCCAGCUGGCUCCUGGGUAUCUGGAACUUCUCCUGUCUCCACCUCCCAUCUCACUGUAGUAUGCUGGGAUUACACAUGAGAGCUGCAGCAUCCAGCUUUUGUGUCCUGAGUUGCUGAGCUCAGGUCCCACUCGUGCAGUCAACACUGUUCCUUUUGUGUUGUCUCUCAGGCCCAGCAUCGGACUUUUGUAACGGUUCAUUUCGCCUAGCACAGUCCUUGGGCCCCAUUCAUGAUGUAAUAUGUAAGAACAUAUAAUCUACAUACUAUUCCAUUGUAAACACACACGCUGUGUUUGCCCAUUCUGUCAUCAGACGCCUGGUUACUCCUCCUCUUGGCUUUUGUGGACGGUGUUGCUAUGAACAUAGGUGCAGAGACACACACCCCUUGGCAUCUGCUUUCAGUUCUUCUCAGUAUAAACUCAGAAGUGAGGGGUAAAUUUCUUUUUUCUUUUAUGUGAAGAAUCACUGUUUCUAUAGCAGUUAAACUGUAUAUAUCCCUGCCAAUAGCACAUGGGGAUUCUAGAUUCUGAGGCCUUGCUGGCACUUGUUCUGUCCUUCCUUCCUCCCUCCCUUCCCUCCCUUCCCUCCCUUCCCUCCCUCCCUCCCUUCCUGUGUAUGGGUGUUUUGCCUGCAUAUAUGUCUUUAUACCACAUGUAUACUUGGUGCCUGUGGCGAUCAGAAGAGGGCAUUGGGUGCUCCGGGACUGGAACUACAGAUGAUUGUGAGCCUCUGUGCGCCAUCAGUGAACUGGGACCCCUGGGAAAGUGGUCCUUAGCCACAGAGGAGUCUGUCUGGCCCUUUUCCCUCUCCAUAGCUGUCAUCCCAGUGCAUAGGGAAGUGGGGGUUCCAGAUGGGUUUAUUUUCUAGUGAUUAGGUAAACAGCUUUUCAUGUGCUUGUUGUAGAUGCACACGAGUCUUUUCAGCGAUGUAGCGUUGUCUGCUAAAGUGCUGUGCCUGUCAUGUAGCCCAGUUGUUGGUUUGUUAGUGUAGUUUUUCUGUAUACCCUGAUGGCAGCCCUUCUCAGCUGAGUGCUUUCUCACCCCACAGGGCACUCCUGUCGAUGGUAGAGGGCUAUGUCUGAUGAAACUGUUUUCUGUAUCAUUAGGCCUGUCCAUUUGUCUUAUCCCCCCGAUAAAGAUGAAUUUAAAGGCUUUAAUUUUGUGUGUAAGAGGUAAAGGGUCCCUUCAGGGCCUUUCCUGAUGAUGUCACAUGAACCAGCAUAUUGAGCAGACAAGAGACCUUCCCUUCUUCUGGAAGAGCAGUCAGUUAACCACUGAGCAUCUCUCUAGCCAGUGCUGCUGUCUUAUGCUCUUGGAGUCAUGUGCUUUUGUUAUUUUGUAAUACAAAAGUGAGAAUAUUUACUUGUCCAUGACAUUAAUUUCCACGUUCUGUCCUAGUCACUUUUAUCAGCAAUUAAUACAGAAUCCCGUGUAGAGGACAGAGGUUGACAUCAGCAGUCUUCCUCCUCCUUAUCUACAUUUAUGUUUGAGAUGAUGUCUCUCUGUAUCUGUACCUUAGGCAGACUGGCUGCCAAGCCAAGCCAGGCCCAGGCCCUCCUGUUUCUGUCUCCCCAGCACUGGGAUAAUAGACAAACACUCUACCACGGCCACCAGGUUUUUCCUGCCAGUGCUGGGAAUCAGAACUCAGAUCUCCACUUUAACCAGCUAGCCCAUCUCUUCAGCCCAUCAGUAGUCGUAGGAAGGCUGGGAAGUGUGACGAUAGUUGGCAGCUUGUGUUUUCUAAGGCUGCAGCAUGUUGGAUACAGCAGUGAAACUGGCUCCUCAGAGGAGCAGUGGUAGCAAUAACAUCAGUACGCCUGCAAGGUGGAAUUCUAGGUUCUGUCACAAAUACAUGAAAAGCAGGACACAAAAACAGCAUCCAGUGGCUUUCCUCUCGGGCCUGGGGAGCUUGGUUGGGCGCUUGACUGGUUGUUGGCAUUUUGUGAAGUGGCAUCAUGGUGUAGUUGCCAGUUACCACUGCUGUGUGGCUGUUGGUCACGAUUACAGGGCAGCAGGCUUUGUUCUGAACAUAAAGAACAGGAUGAGGAUGUGUUCCCAGCCAGAGAAAUAGCAGACAGGCGUGAUCAUCUGGAGCGGGGGAGGAGCUGGGACCAGAGAACUGUUCUCAGCUCUUGAAGGGUGCCCUGUGAAAGAACAAUUAAGAAUGGAGGAUGGGGAGGGCUAGCCUAGGUGGCUGCUAUGAUAGGGAGGUGGCAUGGUGGCAUGUCGCUUCUGUCCCCAACCAGCAGAAAAGAGCGACGACACAGCGUUCUUCUCAAAGCAGUUUAUUCAGGAACCUUUCAACAUGCAAGCAGGAAUCUCUCCUAGCCCCCAAUCACAAUCCCUUAUAUAACCCCUCAACCACGUCCCAUCAGCCCAGUCCGUGUAAUCUCAGUUCAUUGGCCUUCGUCAAAUGGCCUGAUCUUGCAUCAUGGUGCACCUGCGCAGCUCUCAUGAUGGAUGUGGCUUAUUUUCAGGUGUAUGAGGAAGUCAGGUGCAAGUCAUAAGACUUGGCUGCUGUCCUGGCGCCAUCUUGGCACUACCGCCACACCCGCUCCCCACAGUGGCACAUGUGUGUAACCCGGGACACUGCUUUAGCCUGGGCAUACUGAGUAGCCGCAGCACUCAGUACCCAUGGAGUAUUUGCCCUGGGCAGGGCUAAGUCUGGCUCAGAAUAGAAGCAGAGGGCAGGCAUGACCUCAGAGUGUCCAGCAUUAGUGUGAAGCUGAGUGAACCCCUUUGCCCCUGACAGUCCUAGCUCUGUACUUGCUUUACAUCUGGAUUCACGAAUAGGCCUAAAGAGUGAGAGACUCACUCACCAGAGCCCAGUGAGGCUGGGCUGUUCCCAGGAAGCCCACCACAGUCCAGCAGAACGUGCGGCACUCACUGCAAUGUAGGGGCCUCCAUUAGUUAAUAGACUACCUGCAAAAAGCCGGAGACAAUAUUUCUGUGUCAUCGGGGGGAUUGAUUCCUUUCCUGUGAGCAAAGAUGAUUUUUAAAAUUUGAAAAGUACACACUUGUAGAAAACCUUGAUAAAUAUGAACAGAGUGAGAGAAUCCUGACAUUAAGAGGUGAGUUGCAAGGCCAGGCAUGGUGGCACAGGCCUUUAAUCCUAGCACAUGGGAGGCAGAGGUGGGGGCAGGGGCAGGGGCAGGGGCAGGGGCAGGCGGAUCUCCAUGAGUUUGAGGCUAACCUGGUGCAGUGAGCUGGUCCCAGGACAGCCAAGGCAACACAGAAACCCUGUCUCAAAAAACAAACAGAAAAGAAGAAAACAAAAAAGAAAUAGAAAAAAAAAAAGAAAGAAAAAAAAUGAGUUGAUAAAGAUAUGCGUUUAAAAUACUCUUGAAGUCAGAUGUCAGAAGUUCACUGAAUUUGAAUAAACACCUAGAUAUUCUUACCUAGGUUUAUUAGAUGGUGUAAGUUUGCAUAUUAGUGAUAAAUUAGUAACCUAAAGUGGCAGUUUUUAAGCUCUGCCUGUAGUCACACCUGGAGCCACUAGAUGGCGGUAUUGGAACUUGGUAAAACCUGUAAUUCUACUUAAAAUUGUUAUUAAAUGAGGCUUGAGUGUUAUUAAAAGAGCUGAAAUGUUACUAAGUGAUAACAUAUUCUUUCAGUAAAACUGGUAAGAGGGUGGCUGGGAGCAUCCAGAACCAGCUUUGACAGUUGUCUUCCUGUCUCUGAAGCUCCUAGGCCCAAGUGAGAGUUACGAAUUACUAUUAUCUACUCGCAUUUAUUUUUUCCUAAACAGUACAGUAAAGCGUAUUUCAAACCAUAGGAACACUUUUUGUGUGUGAAUCCCCACCUCAUUCCCUUGUGACAGAGUCUUUCACAGAACCUGCAUGUAAACUGGCAGCCAUCAGGACCCAGAGGUCCUCCUGUCUGUUUUGCACAGUGCUGGGUGAUGGGUAUGCAGAGCCACCCCCAGCUUGUACGUGACGGCUGGAGAUUUGAAUUCUGGUCCUGUUGUUUGUGCAUCUAGCACUGUUACCCACUGAGCCUAUUCCUGAGCUCCAAACAUCACAUUUAACUGUGUAGCAAGUUGUCAUGCAGGGCAGCCUGGCUCUAAUACGGAACUUAAGGAAGAAUUCUUACCGAUAUCUGAAAGUUAAGGAAAGGGGAAGGCGGGUUGUUCUUUUUUUGUAAGGGGAUUUAGUGAUCCUGUUGAAUAACUGUUUUGUGUGAGCCACAAACCGUAUUUUUAUCAGAAUUGUUGGGUAAAUGUUGAUAGGAAAGUAGUCCUACUAUGUAGUGGAUAUGAAUGCCACUACCCUACAGCACACGCUUUAGCAGUUGUCUUCCCAUGUCGUGUCUGUGGCUAGUAUUGAGUGCAGAUAAGGUGGAAGCUCAGUCCUUAUCUUGUCAUUCCUUCGACAAAUGGUGUAGUUGUCAACAAUAAGUAAAUAUUCUCAGAGCUCAGAGGAAGGAAGUAGGAAACUACGCGUUGGGGGACUUGAUGGCUGGCGGUGCAAAUGUGCACGUGAGUUCUAAGGAAGGAUAAAAAUAAGGAACAGGAAGUUGAUUCAUGAAAGUGAUUUUUAUUCCACUGCGUGCUUUAACUGAGAAAACAACCUAGAAGAUGUGCUAAUGUUUUAUGGUGAAUUGGUCUUUGAAAAGUGAGUUCUAAUCAGUUUUUAGAACUGCUCCAGGGUGAGGAGGGGCCCAUCUCCGUGUUCUGUGCAUUGCAGUUAUUCAAGCACACGUGUGGAGGCCAGAAGAGGGCAUCAUGUCCUCUGGAACUAGAGUUGUAGACAGUUGUGAGCCACUGUGUGGAUACUGAGAACAGAACCCAGGUUCUCUGAAAGAGCAGCCAGUGGUCUUAACCACUGAGCCAUCUCUUCAGUCCGUGGAUCAUAUCUAUGUAAAAAAAAAAAACCAAUCUAUCUAUCUAUCUAUCUAUCUAUCAGUAUAUAUGGAUAUACAGAUAUAUAGAUACAGAUAUCUACACACACACACACGCACAUACACACACACACACAUUAUAAUGCUGUAUUUGUUGUGUCCAUGUUUUAAUUUAUAUCUCCCUAAUCCAGUGCUGUAUUGAGCUGCUCCUCCGACCCCAACCACUAGAGAGGGUUUCCCUGUGUAGUCUAGCUGGCUGUCCUGGACUUGCUUUGUAGACUAGGUACAGAAAUCCACCUGCCUCUGUCUUCUAGGUGCUGGGAUUAAAGGCGUGUGCCAUCAGGCCUGGCAUUGGCUGCUUUUUAUGUGCUCAGCUGCUGUUCGUGUAUUUUCAAGUCUCUCCGUGCACCUGUACUUAGAUUUGUGACUUUCUUAUUAUUAUAAGAGUUCUUUGAGAGUUCUUUGUAUUCUCAUACCAGUUCUUUAGGUGUGCAUUUAGCAGAUACUUCCCCAAGUUUAUCUCUGUUGAUUUUUAUAAUAGUGACCUUUGAAGAGUGUAGUUAAAUACUCUAAUGAAAUAAAAUCUACCAGUUUAUAAAUAGCCUAUGCUGUGUACUCUUUGGAAAAAUCUUCCUAUGUUGUGCGUAUUUGAGAAAUCUCUGACCUAUGUAGGUUUCUUCUAGAAAUUUUAUUUUAGGUUUGCCAUUUGGGUUUAUGCUCUAUUUUGAAUUUUUAAUAUAUGGUUCAAAGUAGAGCUGUCUUCCUCACUCAGCACCUUCUGUGUGACAAGGUAAAGCCUCACCUGCCCCUGGAAAGCCCCGUUUUUGCUGCCCCCCCAGUUGCUACUUCUUCAACACGAUCCUGACUUAAUACCCCAGUUUAGUUUGUCAGUUUGAGCCACACAUAGUGAAGCACAGGCUGUGUCUGGUUUGUUUCUGUCCUUUGUUUAGCUGUUUCCUUGGUGCCCAAUGUAGCUCUAGUCAGUCUCGUCGUUAGUAGUGUAGUAUUGUGGCAAGUCAAGACACCACACUCCUCCAGUUUCUAUGGCCCCCUGUACCUCUUGUGCUGUGGACAGACACAUGCUUCUGUUUGGUGAUGUCUGGAGUUGGAAUCUGAGUUGAAGGGUAUCGUGCUUAGCUGUUGAAGAUUGCUGCCAUAUCUUUUGUUGGUCAGGAAUUUCAGAGCAAAGUAUUGAUCCUGUUCCUGUCAGCAGGGACUAGAGUUACCUGAAGACUCAUUUUCCAGAGUGACUCACUCUUGUGGCUGUGGGUAGGAAGCCUUGGUUCCUCUUCUUGGAGUUGUAGGAGUAUCCUUUUGACAGGGUAGCUCACCUCCAAGAGUGUCAGAGUCCUUUUCGUUUUACUCAUUGUCGGGCUAAGGGACACACCACGUACCAUAAUUGUAGUCCACAUUUUUUUACUGACCAAGAGACUGAGCUCUUCUGCUGUUGGCUUGUUGUUUAUUUAAGUAAAUAUUUUGGCUGUCUCAGUGUUAACUGUAACUAGCUCUCUUUUAACUACCCAACUGUACAUUUUUCUUGGUGUCUUGUUUUUUGUUUCAUAGCCAUGGUGAUUUAUCUUCCUGUAACACUGAGGAAUAACUUCCAGUUUCCCCCCAAGAUUUCAUUGCUUUGUAGAAUUUGUUUCUUUUGAAUUCUUUCUACUUGCUGUUUUCUGAUUUUGAUAUUAGGGGUUUUGCAUAACCGGAGCCUUCGGCUGUUCAUAUUUAAGAUCUAGUUAGAAAGUGGAGUGACAGGGAUGGAGAAAUGGGUCCACUGGGAAAGUGCUUGCUUUGUAAGCGCCACAUGCAAAUCUGGGUGUGGAUCAUGCACCUGUGAUGCAGGAGGAUCCCCAGCUCCUCCCACCCCUUCCUGGACAUGGGUGGAGGGAAGUUCCCACCCUCUACUGUCUUGGUCUUUCUGGCUCCCUCUGAGGCUGUCUAGGGUUCUGCCCUAAGGACCCUGGCAGCACAAUUCAGAAGCUGUGGAAAGGGGCAGACUGUGUGGGAGAAGCCACUUCUUACACAAAGGAAAUCCCAGGGGCUUAGGAGCUCUCUGCUAGGAACAUGGCACAAAGACUAAAAAGAAUUUGCUUAUUCCACCACAGUCUGUCAGUAGGCAGAGAGAUGAGAGCCAUCUCUCGUUUCUGGCUGCCUCUUAUGGUCCCAGAAGACACUGGUCCUGCAGGGCCUCUGGGUAGUUUGAGUGUUAAUCUAGGAGCUUUUCCAGCUCAGCAAAACUGGUCUGCUGUUAUUCUCACAGGCUUGAGUCUCAGUCGUGAAUUGACACUAUGGUUACUGUAGUUGUUAGUGUCUAAGCCCUAAUACCCAGUAUGCCCUCUCCUCCUUAGCAAUUAAACAGGUAUUGGGGAAAAGCUGCAGAGGGAGAUUAGUCCAGUGUGCUGCUUUAGGGGGAGGAAUAACUAGGAACAAGGCAGUCUGGGUAUUGCACUGAGCUUUAGGCUUAAUCCGAGGCAGGAGACUGAUGUCGGAGAGCAGUCUUGCACACUGCUGUCACACCCAGCACCACUCUCUGGGCUUCAGGCUCCUGCAAGGACAUGUAGCAGGUUGUCAGCACCGUGUAACCAUCUUCCUGGCAGACAAGUUCUUUCUCUGGCUGGCACGGCUGCCUUAUCCUCCUGGCAUGAGGUUCCUGGGGAUUUGUAGUUCUUUGGGGUACAUUAUUUCAAUACUCUGAUAGCUGGAGGGAGGUGUGCAGUUGUCCACUUGAACUGUUUUCAUUGCUGCAAGACCAGUUACUGAUUUCCAGUCAGGAAAAUUUUAUUAUUCGCGGCUCUUUGUCGUUGUGUGUGCCUUUCGAGAAGCCCUCUCCAUGUCAUUCUCGAGAGUUGGGGGAAACGGACAGAUAAGGCCGUGAGUGCAAGGCUUCUUCUUACCUGGCUGUAUUGUUUUCCACUGUGGUUAAGAACACUGGCAAUUGUAAAAUCAGUUUUCUCUCCAUUGACAAGAUUACUUCCAAAGUACUCAGAAUUUUUAUUCAAGGUCAUUUUGUCAGUGAUGAGAGGACAGAGGUUCAGUUCCGUGCUGCUGCCUUCAUCAGGCUCAGGAGCCCCCUUGGACUUGUAGAGCCUCUGCUCAGAACAAAACAGGAUUCAUGGCUUGGAGGCUGAAAAGAAUCCCAGGACCAGUUUACACAGUGAGUUAUGGCUGACAUUUUUGUUAAAGAUAUUUUAAUACAGGCUUCCAUGAGGCUUAAGAGAGACGCCCUCAGAAGAGGGAGAGUAGGGAAGUCAGCGUUAAAGAGAGGAAUGGGCAGAGCGAGCGCUGUUUGGUGGGAAGGAGCACACACUUAAGUAGCCCUUCAGGAGUGAGGGUUACUAGGAGACAGGGCUUGGGAAUCAUGGCUGGACCUUCAGGUGGGAAAGCAUUUCCUCAAGGGAAAGUGUUUUCCCUUUGAGUCUGGAGCAGAGGUUUGUUGAGGGAUGCAGGUCACAGGAAGGGUGAAGAGAGAAAGCUGCUGUGAGGGGUGCAUGGGGGUCUGGGGGAAGAGCGUCUCGAGAGAAUAUCCCUCCCUCUGCCCCCACCCCCCAAAUGGGGAAGGUCUGACUUUUACACGUUCUUUUGCAUGGUGUGAUUUAGACAGGUGUAGCCUGCUUACGAGAACAGGAGCCAGGGACUGCUUAGGACCAUGAAUUAGAGCUGUAAAACCGCAGCUCAGAACAGCUUCUCACAGAGGAUCCAAAUUAAAGGGGUAGGCUGUGAUCUAAGCGGAGACUACCUGAGUGGGCAGGUCUUAGCUCCUCUAGGGAGAGGUAUAAUUGUCUGGUUCUCAGGUUGUGUCUCAAAGGGUCGCCAAGAAACCUUUCCUCUUCCUCUUCCUCUUCCAGUAAGAAAGAUAAACAAGGUGGCUGCAGAGGUGCUGUGGAUAGAACUGCUGCUGCAGUCCAGCCAGCAGCCGUCCGCUUGCUCGCUCUGGUUCCUAGAAAGUCAGGAGGGAGGAGAGCCUGAGACACUGUUGCUGGGAUCCUGCCCCAGUGCUGGCACCGACACUGUCUUCCUCCACAAACCUGUGUCCUGGGUCCUUUGUGCUUCACACAGCUUCCUUCAGCAGCAGUCCUGCUUAGCCACACUGGCAUGGAGACUCAUGCCUCAUGUGCUUCUGUCUGUUUUACACAACCUGGAGUCACUGGGGAAGACUGCUCCCAUCAGGUCGGCCUGUGAGACACUCACCUCAGCAGUGUUGCCCCUGGGCAGGUGGUCUGGGGCUGAAUAAAACAAGUUGAGCAAGCCUUGGAGAGCAAGUCAGUAAGCAGUGUACCUCCAUGCAGGCUGCAUCAGUUCCCGCCCUGGCUUCCCUCACGUCUGUGACAUGACAGCAGAAGCCAAAUAAAUCCUUUCCUCCUCA